rnacentral:rRNA from 1 species
CCUACGGGUGGCAGCAGUGGGGAAUAUUGGACAAUGGGCGAAAGCCUGAUCCAGCCAUGCCGCGUGUGUGAAGAAGGCCUUCGGGUUGUAAAGCACUUUCAGUGGGGAAGAAAGCCUUGGGGCUAAUACCCUCGAGGAAGGACAUCACCCACAGAAGAAGCACCGGCUAACUCCGUGCCAGCAGCCGCGGUAAUACGGAGGGUGCGAGCGUUAAUCGGAAUUACUGGGCGUAAAGCGCGCGUAGGCGGUCUGAUAAGCCGGUUGUGAAAGCCCCGGGCUCAACCUGGGAUCGGCAUCCGGAACUGUCAGGCUAGAGUGCAGGAGAGGAAGGUAGAAUUCCCGGUGUAGCGGUGAAAUGCGUAGAGAUCGGGAGGAAUACCAGUGGCGAAGGCGGCCUUCUGGACUGACACUGACGCUGAGGUGCGAAAGCGUGGGUAGCAAACAGGAUUAGAUACCCUUGUAGUC